rnacentral:rRNA from 1 species
UCCCCGUCUAAGUGCCCUGGAACGGGCCGUCAUAAAAGGUGAGAAUCCCGUCUGGGAUGGGCGGCCGCGCCCGUGUGAAGCUCCUUCGACAAGUCGAGUUGUUUGGGAAUGCANCUCUUAUCGGGUGGUAAAUUUCAUCUGANGCUAAAUACUGGCCGGAGACCGAUGGCGCAUAAGUAGAGUGAUCGAAAGAUGAAAAGCACUUUGAAAAGAGAGUUAAAUAGCACGUGAAAUUGUUGAAAGGGAAGCGUUGUCCACCGAACUCCCCGGGGGGGGCUCCGCCCGUACGUGUGCCGGUUUACUCCUCUCCGGGCGGGCCAUCAUCGGUUUGGGCGGCUGGUGAAACGCCCCGGGAAUGUACCACCCUCCGGGGUGUCUUAUA